GUGGAGACAGAAAGGGACAUGGACAGAAGGAGCGUCGAGUCCGGGCUCUGCUCAAGGACCCGGUUGGAAAUUGCCACGCUGAUCUUAACAUUCAUAUGGACAUUCAAGGGACCCAGAAUAGCCAAGACAAUCUUGAUAAAGAAGAACAAAGUUGGAGGACUCCCAUUUCCCGAUUUUAGAAAUUACUACAAAGCUACAAUAAUCAAGAUAGUGUGGUACUGGCAUACGGACAGACAUAUAGAUCAAUGAAUUAGAGUUGAAAGUCCAGAAAUAAACUCUCAUAUUUAUGAUCAACUGAUUUUCAAGAAAGGUGCUAAGACAAUUCAAUGGAGAAAGAAGCCUUUUCAACAAAUAGUGCUGGGAAAACUGAAUGUUCACAUUUAGAAGAAUGAGAUUGGACUCUUACCAUACGAUAUAUACAAAAAUUAACUCAAAUGGAUCAAAGGCCUAAAUAUAAAAGCUCCAGCUAUUAAAUUCUCAAGAAAACAGAAGCAUAAAUCUUUUUGACCUGGGAUUGGGCAAUGGAUACAAGGUUUUUUUGGGGGGGUGCUGCAAUAUUUCAGAAUUGAUCAUAGAGAAGUUUGCACAUGUUUGUAAAUAUAUUCAAAUCUAUUGAAUUGUA